CCUACGGGAGGCAGCAGUGGGGAAUUUUGGACAAUGGGCGCAAGCCUGAUCCAGCAAUGCCGCGUGAGUGAAGAAGGCCUUCGGGUUGUAAAGCUCUUUUGUCAGGGAAGAAACGGUGGGGGCUAAUAUCCCUCGCUAAUGACGGUACCUGAAGAAUAAGCACCGGCUAACUACGUGCCAGCAGCCGCGGUAAUACGUAGGGUGCAAGCGUUAAUCGGAAUUACUGGGCGUAAAGCGUGCGCAGGCGGUUUUGUAAGUCUGUCGUGAAAGCCCCGGGCUCAACCUGGGAAUUGCGAUGGAGACUGCAAGGCUUGAAUCUGGCAGAGGGGGGUAGAAUUCCACGUGUAGCAGUGAAAUGCGUAGAGAUGUGGAGGAACACCGAUGGCGAAGGCAGCCCCCUGGGUCAAGAUUGACGCUCAUGCACGAAAGCGUGGGGAGCAAACAGGAUUAGAUACCCUGGUAGUCCACGCCCUAAACGAUGUCUACUAGUUGUCGGGUUUUAAUUAACUUGGUAACGCAGCUAACGCGUGAAGUAGACCGCCUGGGGAGUACGGUCGCAAGAUUAAAAACNCAAAAGGGAAUUGACGGCUGAGACGCGACGACGACGACGAGGAGGAGGAG
rnacentral:rRNA from 1 species